AGUGAACGCUGGCGGCGUGCUUAACACAUGCAAGUCGAACGAGAACGGAUUAUAGCUUGCUAUAAUUGUCAGCUAAGUGGCGCACGGGUGAGUAAUGUAUAGGUAAUAUGCCUCUUACUAAGGGAUAACAAAUGGAAACAUUUGCCAAUACCUUAUACUCCUUAUUAACAGAAGUUAAUAAGGGAAAGAUUUAUUGGUAAGAGAUUAGCCUGUAUUGUAUCAGUUAGUUGGUGGGGUAAUGGCUUACCAAGACUAUGACACAUAACUGGUUUGAGAGGAUGAUCAGUCACACUGGAACUGAGACACGGUCCAGACUCCUACGGGAGGCAGCAGUGGGGAAUAUUGCACAAUGGACGGAAGUCUGAUGCAGCAACGCCGCGUGGAGGAUGACACAUUUCGGUGCGUAAACUCCUUUUAUAUGAGAAGAUAAUGACGGUAUUAUAUGAAUAAGCACCGGCUAACUCCGUGCCAGCCGCCGCCGUAA
rnacentral:rRNA from 1 species